rnacentral:rRNA from 1 species
CAGCAGCCGCGGGAACACGAAGGGGGCUAGCGUUGCUCGGAAUCACUGGGCGUAAAGGGUGCGUAGGCGGGUCUUUAAGUCAGGGGUGAAAUCCUGGAGCUCAACUCCAGAACUGCCUUUGAUACUGAAGAUCUUGAGUUCGGGAGAGGUGAGUGGAACUGCGAGUGUAGAGGUGAAAUUCGUAGAUAUUCGCAAGAACACCAGUGGCGAAGGCGGCUCACUGGCCCGAUACUGACGCUGAGGCACGAAAGCGUGGGGAGCAAACAGGAUUAGAUACCCCCGUAGUCCCUGUCUCUUAUAC